rnacentral:rRNA from 1 species
GAUGAACGCUGGCGGCGUGCUUAACACAUGCAAGUCGAACGGAACUACUCCAAUGAGAGUCUUCGGAAAGGAUUUGGUUUAGUUUAGUGGCGGACGGGUGAGUAACGCGUGGGUAACCUGCCCUAUACAGGGGGAUAACAGUUGGAAACGACUGUUAAUACCGCAUAAGCGCACAGGAGCGCAUGCUCCGGUGUGAAAAACUCCGGUGGUAUAGGAUGGACCCGCGUCUGAUUAGCUGGUUGGCGGGGUAACGGCCCACCAAGGCGACGAUCAGUAGCCGGCCUGAGAGGGUGAACGGCCACAUUGGGACUGAGACACGGCCCAAACUCCUACGGGAAGCAGCAGUGGGGAAUAUUGCACAAUGGGGGAAACCCUGAUGCAGCGACGCCGCGUGAGCGAAGAAGUAUCUCGGUAUGUAAAGCUCUAUCAGCAGGGAAGAAAAUGACGGUACCUGACUAAGAAGCCCCGGCUAACUACGUG